UAUCAAGCAUCACUUUAGAAGGUCCGGGGAAACUGUUAGCAGAGCAUUUCAUAGUGUUUUAAAUGUUGUCAUACGCUUACAAGAUGUGUUAUUUAAAAAGCCGGAGCCAAUUACAGCCAAUUCUUCUGACACAAGGUGGAAAUGGUUUAAGAAUUGCUUAGGUGCUCUUGAUAGAACCCACAUCAAGAUUAGGGUUCCAACAGUUGAUAAACCUAGAUAUCGAACGCGAAAAGGUGACAUAGCAACAAAUAUGCUAGGUGUUUGUACACCUGAGAUGUAAUUUGUUUAUGUUCUUCCUGGUUGGGAAGGUUCAGUUGCCGAUGGACGGGUUCUUCGAGAUGCCAUUAGUAGAAGACAUGGAUUAAAAGUUCCUCAUGGUUGUUAUUAUCUAGUUGAUGCUGGAUACACAAAUUGUGAGGGAUUUCUUGCACCAUUUAGAGGACAGCGAUAUCAUUUGAACGAGUGGCGUCAGGGUUAUACGUCAAGUUCUCCGCAAGAGUUUUUUAAUAUGAAACAUGCCUCAGCACGUAAUGUUAUUGAAAGAUGCUUUGGCUUAUUAAAACUUAGAUGUGGAAUACUUA